GGAAUCUCCUUUUUACUCCUUGAGCCAGACCUGGAGGACUUCUUCUGGAGCACUCUCUUUCCACUUCUGAGUGCUGUUUCUCAGUUUCAGGCUGCCUGGAGUCCAAGCCAGAGAUACGAGGGAAUAGAAGGGGAAACUCAGUGCUGGUUUGUAGAAACACUUGUAGCAAGAUCUGUAAAUGGAAGUUUAGGCUGACAUCCCAAGAUGACAAAUGCCAGAUGGCAGAAAGGAUUGAGAUCAUUCAGGAAGAUGUGUAAAAUUUCAAGG
rnacentral:lncRNA from 1 species